UACGGGGGGGGUAAGCGUUGUUCGGAAUUACUGGGCGUAAAGGGCUCGUAGGCGGCCAACUAAGUCGGACGUGAAAUCCCUCAGCUUAACUGGGGAACUGCGUCCGAUACUGGAUGGCUUGGAUUUGGGAGAGGGAUGCGGAAUUCCGGGUGUAGCGGUGAAAUGCGUAGAUAUCCGGAGGAACACCGGUGGCGAAGGCGGCUCCUGGACCGACACUGACGCUGAGGCGCGAAAGCCAGGGGAGCAAACGGG
rnacentral:rRNA from 1 species